rnacentral:rRNA from 1 species
CCUACGUGAGACAGCAGUGGGGAAUAUUGGACAAUGGGGGGAACCCUGAUCCAGCGACGCCGCGUGAGUGAAGAAGUAUUUCGGUAUGUAAAGCUCUAUCAGCAGGGAAGAAAGAAAUGACGGUACCUGACUAAGAAGCCCCGGCUAACUACGUGCCAGCAGCCGCGGUAAUACGUAGGGGGCAAGCGUUAUCCGGAUUUACUGGGUGUAAAGGGAGCGUAGACGGCGAUGCAAGUCUGAAGUGAAAGGCGGGGGCCCAACCUCCGGACUGCUUUGGAACCUGUAUGGCUGGAGUGCAGGAGAGGUAAGUGGAAUUCCUAGUGUAGCGGUGAAAUGCGUAGAUAUUAGGAGGAACACCAGUGGCGAAGGCGGCUUACUGGACUGUAACUGACGUUGAGGCUCGAAAGCGUGGGGAGCAAACAGGAUUAGAUACCCUAGUAGUC